UACGGAGGGUGCGAGCGUUGUCCGGAAUCACUGGGCGUAAAGGGCGCGUAGGCGGCGCGGGAAGUCCGUGGUGAAAGCCCGAGGCUCAACUUCGGGUCGGCCAUGGAUACUCCUGGGCUCGAGCACUGUAGAGGCAGGUGGAAUUCCGGGUGUAGCGGUGGAAUGCGUAGAGAUCCGGAAGAACACCGGUGGCGAAAGCGACACGCUGGCCCUCUUCUGACGCUGAGGCGCGAAAGCCAGGGGAGCAAACGGG
rnacentral:rRNA from 1 species